AGAUUGAACGCUGGCGGCAGGCCUAACACAUGCAAGUCGAGCGGCAGCACGAGUACUUGUACCUGGUGGCGAGCGGCGGACGGGUGAGUAAUGCCUAGGAAUCUGCCUGGUAGUGGGGGAUAACGCUCGGAAACGGACGCUAAUACCGCAUACGUCCUACGGGAGAAAGCAGGGGACCUUCGGGCCUUGCGCUAUCAGAUGAGCCUAGGUCGGAUUAGCUAGUUGGUGAGGUAAUGGCUCACCAAGGCGACGAUCCGUAACUGGUCUGAGAGGAUGAUCAGUCACA
rnacentral:rRNA from 1 species